rnacentral:lncRNA from 1 species
UUUAAUCAUUCCCUUCACGAAAGCCUUUCUUCUUCCAGAGGAAACCCCAUCCCCAGAGAAGUUCAGUGACUUGUGGGAAAUCCCAGAGAGAUAGAAGUGAAACCUCUAUCAGAAGGUCAGACGCCAUCCCGAGGCAGCGACUCGUGACAGUUGGACAGCCCCACAGCCAACAGUGCUGCUUCAUCCUUCCGAGCAAUCAGUGUCUGCAGCUGUACAGGGAACACAGUUCUUGAGAUGACCACCAAGAACAGCAGCAGCAGUGGAGUAAGUACAGGCAGCUGGAACCUAGAAGACAAGGUGUGUGCUACACAAGGCAGAGCUGGAGAAGUGACCCAAAGCCCUUGGAGGAGCCUAGACAAUCAUGAGUGGAUCCCAGACAUUGGGCCGUUGGAGUUUGAUUUUGCUUUUGAUUGUGACUGUGCCCUAAUAUUUUUUUCCCUCUUGAAGUAAGAAAAUAUUUUAGUGGAGGCCACAGGUAAGAGACUUUGAAUUUUAAAAGAUACUGGAUAUUUUAAAGGGAUAGAUAGAACUUUCAAUAUGUAAAGACUGUGGGACUCUUCAAGUUAUUUAGAUCUUGGACAUGAAUAAGAAGAUAAGGGUUGAGGCUUAACAGUGAUAGUUUGUGUGUCACGUUGACAAGGGGUCAGUUGUCCUGGCUGGUUUUGUGUGUUGACUUGACACAAGCUGGAGUUAUCACAGAGAAA